AGGUGUAUUCGUUCCUAGGACGCAUUUUCGUCGUUCUGCGCAGUGUUCUGAGAACCGCCAUUGCAAUCACAGCUGAUGGUCAUAGUGUUGUUAGUGAUAUAGAUUAGAUUUAUUUUGAUCAUUACGAUGCCGUCGUGUGCAAUACAAAAUGCAAUACAAAAUUGUAAAAACAAUUUAUGAAAUUUACGAAAAACAAAAAAAUUAGUUUUUUUACAUUUCUGAAGAAAACAGAAAUGCUCGAAAGGUGGAAGCUUAUGCGCAAAGAAAAUGUUAACCCUAAAAUCGCUCGUGUCUGUUCGGAACAUUUUCAUCAUUUACAAUGUGAAGAUCAAUCGUGGUUAAAAGAUUUAAUUGGAGAAUCUGGGAAUGUACUAGUAAGACUCAGAUACAGUUCUGGCAGCCAGAGAAUAAUCAAAUUUCCAUGGAUAACGAUUUAUAAGCAGAUGUUGCACAACCUGUUGCCCAUUGCUCAUUUAUUUUUUUUUUUUAUUAUGACAAUAUAAGAAAGGAUACAGCCAUUAGGGACGGGCCUAUUAGGCAGGAACUACAUAUGAAACUAAUGCACUAGCACACACUUAAGGUACAUUUCCAUUACUGAGAAGAAGGGUAAGGUUCCCCUCAUAAUCACAGACUGUACGCUUUUAAAUUAUCUAACUUAUUUAUUAUAAUUAAAGACCAUAAAAUAAAAUUUUUCAUUUCAUCGAAUCGCAAUAUCUCGCAAAAACAUAAAAAUAAGCUAGAUUGACAAUUACUAGAGCAAAUCCAUCAGAGCUAACUUAAAACAGUAGACAGUUAUGAGAAAUAUCUUUUCUUAACUAAAUAUAUAAUAAACUAUAAUAACUUAAAUUAAGAUAAUAUAAAAUAAAAUAGCAAGUAUUACAUGUGCCGCAUUAACUUACAAUAGAUUAAAUCAAAUUAAUAUAAAAAAUAAAAAAAACAAGCGAAACUUAGAGCACUAGAUAGAACUUAUCAAUAGAGCAGAUAAACAUGUUUAAGAUAUAGAUUGUAUCCUCAUCAAUUAUAGCCAUGAGAUAUUCGACAGGGAGGGAAGAGAUCCCUGACCAGGGCAUUUUGCAAUACCCGUCUCUGUUCAAUAAAAGCACUACAUUCCCAAAAGACAUGGUUUGGAGUUUCAUACCGCAUCUAAUCACAUAGUGGAGAAUCCAGCCGAAGCAGAAAAGAUUUUCCCUCAGGGAUUUGUGGCCCGAUCUAAUUCUAUUAAUAAUUGCAACUAAUAUUAACUGUUCUUCUCUUUAUUUUAAAUUUCCUGAACCAAACAUGUUUGGAUUCCACCAAAUAAUUGUUACAAUACCGCGAGUAAGCAACUCAUCACCCAUCCAAACAAUUUACUGUACAUCUGUCGAUUUCAUAGAUUUGAAAAUUCAGAUACUGGAAUUCCCAAUUACAUAUCUCUGCAAUAGCCUCCCUAGCUAGCCUAUUCGUUUGUUCGUUGCCCGAAAUCCCUAUAUGGCUAGGAAUCCAUAUGAACUUGAUCUCAACUCUGUCUCUAAUCAAAUGAAGGAUGUUAUCUUUAAUAAAGAGAAAUGCAAUUUAUCAAAUUGUGCGCUCACUGCACUAAGGAUUGAUUUAGAGUUCAAAAAAAUAGUUAGCUUGAAUCACCCAGUUAUAUCCUAGUUCCAGAGCCAUGAGAAUCGCAAUUGCUUCAACACAAUAUGAAGAGACAAAAUCCGCACACUUAUAUCCUUCGGAUAUAGAUCCAUCAUAAGACACCACAGCAAAAUCAGCAUAUUGCGAGUCUUCUAUACAUGAUUCAUCAGUGAAAAGAUACACGGACUAAUCUCCUCGUUGAAUAAUCCUAAAAAGUGACAUUAGCACUAUAUUUACGCUUGCCAAAGAAUUUUUUAUCUUCAAGGUUCACCUCUGGACGAAAAAGCAAAGCAUCGAAUGAUUUUGAGAAGUACGACGGACCAACAAAGUUGAGAAGAUAGUGCUUUUUAACAUCUAUGUCCUUCUGAGCUAACAUAAUCGGAGCUCGACUAAUGCAGUCACAUUGCGCGGGAGUUUCCGUCAAUUCUCUAAGUUCUUCCAAGGAUUCAAGGAGAUGACAUCUAGAGUUUGUUGCUAGUCUAGACAGGAAAUUUCUCCUUAAGUAUCAGAAUCAAACAAACAAGGGAAACUCCUUCGCUUCGCACAGAAUAAUUAAACGGAGUACUCUGUCUAUACCCCAUGACCAAUUUAAGAACUCGGUACUGAAUUCUGUUAAGUAAAAGCUUAUUCGAAAGAUCUUGAAGCAUGAAACCCUCAUAUUCUAGUCUAAAUCUAAUCAAGGCGUGAUAAAUUAAUCUAAGUAACCUCGGAUCGGCGCUCCACCAAAGGCGUAUUAUAUUCGUAAUGGACAAAUACAACGACUUUUGAUAUAAUUAACGUGGAUAGACCAUUCUAAAUUAGAUUGUAAAUUCAUUUCUAAGAACUUCUUAUCAGAAUUUGCAAUAACUUUUCCCUGAAUCGAGAAAGAUCUUAAUUACAUUAUCCCGCCUAACUUGAGUUUUAAGAGCUUUAUUAUUCUUGUUAAAUACACAUAGUUAGUUUUCUCUGCUGACAAAGUAAGACUGAGGUUAUCUAAUAAGGUAGAAAUCUUGUCAGCUGCACUUUCGACUUUAUUCAAAGAUUCCUCGAUCAAGUCCAUAGCAGAAAAAAUGCACAUCGUUUGUGUACUGAAUUAUCUUGCAUUCUUGGGAAUUGAUCUCCUUCAAUUCGGCGACGUAGAUAGUAGACGUAUAACAUAGGGCUCAGUACCCUGUGGCAGCCCUUUGAAAAGCCAAAAAAACUUCUUCUAUUUCCUCAUAUCUACACCACACUUGACGCGCAGAUAUCAAAUUGUAAAUAAAAUGGCAGAACAUGAGGAGGAUACUCAGAUUCGUUAAUCUGUUAACUAAUAAUCAAUGUUAUCAUAUGCUGCUUUGAUAUUAAGAAAAGCAGCUGCCACUGGAAUAUCCAUUUGAAAGCUUCUAAGAAUUUCCACAUAGAAGAUUGCUAAGUUAUGCUCAGAUUGCUAAGUUCAUGCUCUUGCAUGAAAGCUCUCUAUGAAACUGCGAUACAGGUAUAAAUGUGAUUAGAUACUUCUUUCAACCUGAAAGAAACGGGAAAGAUCCACUAGCAAAAAUGGAGUUGCAGAUAUGGUGAAAUAUACAUCUAUCCAUAGAAGACAACUGCUUGACAUAAUCGAUACCAUCUAAAUCUAGAUUUGGCCUUGAGAUUCUUAAUUACAACAAUUCUUCUUCUAUCAGAGCUCCCAUUGCUCGUAUAUAGGAAAACAGAUUUUCCACAACAUCUUGGUUCAAUCAACUUGUUGUUAUAUAUGAUAUUUCUGAAUUGUUUAUAUUGAACCUUUCUCGUAAAUCAGAAUAAAAAUGCUAUAACGAUGAAUUGCAGAUAAGAAUUCCUUUUUGAAAAGGAAGAACACUUUGUCUAUUAUCAAUUUUCGUUUUUUUAACUGUUGAUGUAACUUCGGUAAGAAUUUUGUUCUGUUACAAAAUAUCAAUGCCAUUCUGUCUAUGGUGAUGUCCAUAUUUGCAGGUACUAUUGAAAACAUUUCUAUUCAAACCAGUCAUUGAAUAGCUUUAUAAAUUUAGCCAUUGCAGCCCAUUCUGGAUAAUUGUCCAUAAAUCCACGGGAACCACACCAGUCAAUUGCGGCUGCGUUUGUUGCAGAAAAAAGUUGUGUUGCCAGUUUCACAUUUUGUGGUCCUUAAAUGUACAAAUGAAUUUCUGACAAUUUGUGUGCAAUUUUUAAAUCGCCGCUAUUGAUUAAUAACCUUUUCAAGGCUAUCGAUGAUAUAAAAUGGUCGUUUAUGUACAAUCCGGAAUCAAGGAAAUGAUUGCGAAGUAAUUUUAGCAGAUGAGGGUCCAUGAAAACAUAUACCUUUAUACAUUCAUCACAUGGAUGUUCGAAAUAGUCUGGCGGAAUAGACUUAGAGCAGGAUGCAAGAAGCGGGUCAAGUUCCAGAAACUCAGAAAAGCUAGCAUCCCAAUUAUUACGCGGAUACAGACCGGGUAAUUUAUCUCCUCUCAAACCCGUCGUCAACUUAAAAGGGCUCAUUUGUGUCAAAAAUAUCGAGAUCACGAUCCCUGUAUAUAGAUCUUACCUUCGACAAGCCAACCAACAAUUCCCUUAGCAAUAUAUCUUCAAAUCCUUCUUUGGAUUUUGAAUUCCCUUUUCCCUUCUAUUCUCCUACCCUCGAUAAUUUCCAAAACUCAGAACUUUCUGCUCUCUCUCACUCUCCAGUCUCUCUGGAAGACAACAGAUCCUAUGAUGAGAUAUUCCAGUCACUUGAAUAUCUCAUCGAAUCUAUUCUUCUCCCCU